ACUCCUGCGGGAGGCAGCAGUGGGGAAUAUUGGACAAUGGGCGCAAGCCUGAUCCAGCCAUGCCGCGUGAGUGAUGAAGGCCCUAGGGUUGUAAAGCUCUUUCACCGGUGAAGAUAAUGACGGUAACCGGAGAAGAAGCCCCGGCUAACUUCGUGCCAGCAGCCGCGGUAAUACGAAGGGGGCUAGCGUUGUUCGGAUUUACUGGGCGUAAAGCGCACGUAGGCGGACUAUUAAGUCAGGGGUGAAAUCCCGGGGCUCAACCCCGGAACUGCCUUUGAUACUGGUAGUCUUGAGUUCGAGAGAGGUGAGUGGAAUUCCGAGUGUAGAGGUGAAAUUCGUAGAUAUUCGGAGGAACACCAGUGGCGAAGGCGGCUCACUGGCUCGAUACUGACGCUGAGGUGCGAAAGCGUGGGGAGCAAACAGGAUUAGAUACCCGAGUAGUCCCA
rnacentral:rRNA from 1 species